GACGAACGCUGGCGGCGUGCUUAACACAUGCAAGUCGAACGAUGAAGCCUAGCUUGCUAGGUGGAUUAGUGGCGAACGGGUGAGUAAUACGUGAGUAACCUACCUUUAACUCUGGGAUAAGCCCGGGAAACUGGGUCUAAUACCGGAUACGACCAAUCUCCGCAUGGGGUGUUGGUGGAAAGCGUUAUGUAGUGGUUAUAGAUGGGCUCACGGCCUAUCAGCUUGUUGGUGAGGUAACGGCUCACCAAGGCGACGACGGGUAGCCGGCCUGAGAGGGUGACCGGCCACACUGGGACUGAGACACGGCCCAGACUCCUACGGGAGGCAGCAGUGGGGAAUAUUGCACAAUGAGCGCAAGCCUGAUGCAGCGACGCCGCGUGAGGGAUGACGGCCUUCGGGUUGUAAACCUCUGUUAGCAGGGAAGAAGAGAGAUUGACGGUACCUGCAGAGAAAGCGCCGGCUAACUACGUG
rnacentral:rRNA from 1 species